rnacentral:rRNA from 1 species
UAGGGGGCAAGCGUUAUCCGGAUUUACUGGGUGUAAAGGGAGCGUAGACGGUGCGCCAAGUCUGAAGUGAAAUGCCGCGGCUUAACUGCGGAACUGCUUUGGAAACUGGCGAACUAGAGUGCGGGAGGGGUAAGCGGAAUUCCUAGUGUAGCGGUGAAAUGCGUAGAUAUUAGGAGGAACACCGGUGGCGAAGGCGGCUUACUGGACCGUAACUGACGUUGAGGCUCGAAAGCGUGGGGAGCAAA